rnacentral:rRNA from 1 species
CCUACGGGUGACAGCAGUGGGGAAUAUUGCACAAUGGGGGAAACCCUGAUCCAGCAACGCCGCGUGAAGGAAGACGGUUUUCGGAUUGUAAACUUCUUUUCUUAGUGAAGAAGAAUGACGGUAGCUAAGGAGCAAGCCACGGCCAACUACGUGCCAGCAGCCGCGGUAAUACGUAGGGGGCAAGCGUUGUCCGGAAUUACUGGGUGUAAAGGGAGCGCAGGCGGGAAGCCAAGGCAGCUGUGAAAACUACGGGCUUAACUUGUAGACUGCAGUUGAAACUGGUGUUCUUGAGUGAAGGAGAGGUAGGCGGAAUUCCGAGUGUAGCGGUGAAAUGCGUAGAUAUUCGGAGGAACACCGGUGGCGAAGGCAGCCAACUGGGGUUUAACUGACGCUGAGGCUCGAAAGUGUGGGGAGCGAACAGGAUUAGAUACCCGAGUAGUC